rnacentral:rRNA from 1 species
AACCGUUAUAACCGGCGAUACCCGAAUGGGGAAACCCAGUGUGAUUCGUCACACUAUCAUUAACUGAAUCCAUAGGUUAAUGAGGCGAACCGGGGGAACUGAAACAUCUAAGUACCCCGAGGAAAAGAAAUCAACCGAGAUUCCCCCAGUAGCGGCGAGCGAACGGGGAGGAGCCCAGAGCCUGAAUCAGCAUGUGUGUUAGUGGAAGCGUCUGGAAAGUCGCGCGAUACAGGGUGACAGCCCCGUACACAAAAGCGCAUGUGUUGUGAGCUCGAUGAGUAGGGCGGGACACGUGGUAUCCUGUCUGAAUAUGGGGGGACCAUCCUCCAAGGCUAAAUACUCCUGACUGACCGAUAGUGAACCAGUACCGUGAGGGAAAGGCGAAAAGAACCCCGGCGAGGGGAGUGAAAAAGAACCUGAAACCGUGUACGUACAAGCAGUGGGAGCACCCUUCGGGGUGUGACUGCGUACCUUUUGUAUAAUGGGUCAGCGACUUAUAUUCUGUAGCAAGGUUAACCGAAUAGGGGAGCCGGAGGGAAACCGAGUCUUAAUUGGGCGUUAAGUUGCAGGGUAUAGACCCGAAACCCGGUGAUCUAGCCAUGGGCAGGUUGAAGGUUGGGUAACACUAACUGGAGGACCGAACCGACUAAUGUUGAAAAAUUAGCGGAUGACCUGUGGCUGGGGGUGAAAGGCCAAUCAAACCGGGAGAUAGCUGGUUCUCCCCGAAAGCUAUUUAGGUAGCGCCUCGUGAAUUCAUCUCCGGGGGUAGAGCACUGUUUCGGCUAGGGGGCCAUCCCGGCUUACCAACCCGAUGCAAACUGCGAAUACCGGAGAAUGUUAUCACGGGAGACACACGGCGGG